GUGUCAGCCGCCGCGGUAAUACAGAGGUCCCAAGCGUUGUUCGGAUUCACUGGGCGUAAAGGGUGCGUAGGUGGUCGGGUGAGUCUGAUGUGAAAUCUCCGAGCUUAACUCGGAAACUGCAUCGGAUACUAUCCGGCUUGAGGAAUGGAGGGGAGAUUGGAAUUCUCGGUGUAGCAGUGAAAUGCGUAGAUAUCGAGAGGAACACCAGUGGCGAAGGCGGAUCUCUGGACAUUUCCUGACGCUGAGGCACGAAAGCCAGGGGAGCAAACGGGAUUAGAUACCCUCGUAGUCC
rnacentral:rRNA from 1 species